UACGUAGGUGGCAAGCGUUGUCCGGAUUUACUGGGCGUAAAGAGCGCGCAGGCGGUCGUUCAAGUCGCGUGUGAAAGCCCCUGGCUCAACUGGGGAGGGUCACGCGAUACUGUUCGACUUGAAGGCAGGAGAGGGAAGUGGAAUUCCCGGUGUAGUGGUGAAAUGCGUAGAUAUCGGGAGGAACACCAGUGGCGAAGGCGACUUCCUGGCCUGUUCUUGACGCUGAGGCGCGAAAGCUAGGGUAGCAAACGGG
rnacentral:rRNA from 1 species